rnacentral:lncRNA from 13 species
AUGCCAGAGCCACCUCCAGGAGUAGAAUUCAAGAAGAGUUCAAUGUAUCGAUGUUGCAUGCGUAGCUCCCUAAGCGGUUGCCACCAACAGAGACGGUUGGGGGAACCAUUGUGGCGGGCGCUACACGAGGCAAACGACUUUUCGCUCCUCUCGAUUGGACCCUGUGAGCACCAGAGCCGGCCUAACUAUCGCCUGACAGAAACAGGGUCUCACUAUGUUGCCCGGACUGGUCUUCAACUCCUGGCCUCCAGCAGUCCUAAAACCUUGGCCUCCCAAAGCAGAGCGUACAGUGGCUGCUGACAGGAGCAAAUAACAAAUCCAGAAAUGAGAAGGAACUGAUUCAUCAUGGAGUGAACUUUGACCAAUGAAGGACAGGAGAUGACAAGUAAAUUGCAGACCUAUUCUCCCCUGGAUGGAUUGCUUCAGUUACAGUGGUUUUGUAUAGUAAACAUCCUGUGCAACUGAAAAAGCCAGCUGUGCUCUCUUGAAAAGCUUUGGCUGUCUGAGUGUUAAACUUGUGGGGUGGGAGAAGGUAGAUGUUCUGGCAAAGAUCUCUGCAGCUGGUUAUAAUAAUUUGUAGUGAUGGUUCCUUGAAUCUUGAAAACAACAAUCAUUACCAUUAAACAAGGGUUGACAUACCAGAUUGUCCUUGGCAUGGUAUGAAGGAAGGAAUCAGAAAACUCAGAGAAGUGAGAAGGUAUCUGUGCAUUACUGUGUCAUAUCUGAGAAUCCAUCACAUGACUUUGUACACUGGGGGUGAGGCUGGGGACACUACUUUCACCUAGUUAACAAAGAAUGCACUCAUAGGGAGAACAAUAAAAUCUUUGAGAAACUUAGUGAUGAUUUUCUU